AUUGAACGCUGGCGGCAGGCCUAACACAUGCAAGUCGAGCGGAGCGGCGGACGGGUGAGUAAUGCCUAGGAAUCUGCCUGGUAGUGGGGGAUAACGUCCGGAAACGGGCGCUCAUACCGCAUACUAUCAGAUGAGCCUAGGUCGGAUUAGCUAGUUGGUGGGGUAAAGGACUACCAAUGCGACGUUCAGUAACUGGUCUGAGAGGUUGAUCAGUCACAUGGGAACUGAGAUACUGUCCAGACUCGUAUGUGAGGCAGAAGUGGGAAAUAUUGAACAAUGGGCGAAAGCCUGAUCCAGCCAUGCAGCGUGCGUGAAGAAGGUCUUCGGAUUGUAGAGCACUUUAAGUUGGGAGGCGUUACCAACAGAAUAAGCACCGGCUAACUUCGUGCCAGCAGCCGCGGUAAUUC
rnacentral:rRNA from 1 species